GCCAGGGACAGCUCAGUCAGUAGAGCAUGAGACUUUUAAUCUUAGGGUUGUGGGUCUCAGCCCCACAUUAGGCA